ACACGUGGUAUCCUGUCUGAAUAUGGGGGGCCCAUCCUCCAAGGCUAAAUACUCCUGACUGACCGAUAGUGAACCAGUACCGUGAGGGAAAGGCGAAAAGAACCCCGGCGAGGGGAGUGAAAAAGAACCUGAAACCGUGUACGUACAAGCAGUGGGAGCACGCUUAGGCGUGUGACUGCGUACCUUUUGUAUAAUGGGUCAGCGACUUAUAUUCUGUAGCAAGGUUAACCGAAUAGGGGAGCCGAAGGGAAACCGAGUCUUAACUGGGCGUUAAGUUGCAGGGUAUAGACCCGAAACCCGGUGAUCUAGCCAUGGGCAGGUUGAAGGUUGGGUAACACUAACUGGAGGACCGAACCGACUAAUGUUGAAAAAUUAGCGGAUGACUUGUGGCUGGGGGUGAAAGGCCAAUCAAACCGGGAGAUAGCUGGUUCUCCCCGAAAGCUAUUUAGGUAGCGCCUCGUGAAUUCAUCUCCGGGGGUAGAGCACUGUUUCGGCAAGGGGGUCAUCCCGACUUACCAACCCGAUGCAAACUGCGAAUACCGGAGAAUGUUAUCACGGG
rnacentral:rRNA from 1 species